rnacentral:rRNA from 1 species
GACGAACCACACAAACGUUAUUCGGAAUUACUGGGCUUAAAGGGUGCGUAGGCGGCGCAGAAAGUAGGGUGUGAAAUCUUGGAGCUUAACUCCGAAACUGCAUUCGAUACUGCCGUGCUUGAGGACUGGAGAGGAGACUGGAAUUUACGGUGUAGCGGUGAAAUGCGUAGAUAUCGUAAGGAAGACCAGUGGCGAAGGCGGGUCACUGGCCCGGUACUGACGCUGAGGUGCGAAAGCGUGGGGAGCAAACAGG